CCGCCCCUACCCCUCCCAGAGCUGCCUGGAAGUGGUGGGGUGAGAGCUCCUCCUGGGUUACCCCUUUCCCUUUGGGGAAAGAAUUGCAGACCCAGGCCCUACCCACCAGAGGAUCUCCUCUUCCUCCCCAACACCCCUCCUGGGGGUUGGAGAGUUCAUCUACCUACAUACAUCCCCAGCUGCCUGGCUUCCAGGGUCCCCGGGCCAAAGCGAGUCAUCUGAGAUGACGGUCAAGCUAGAUUUUGAAGAAUGUCUCAAGGACUCUCCCCGAUUCCGAGCCUCAAUUGAGCUGGUGGAAGCUGAGGUGUCAGAAUUGGAGACCCGCCUAGAAAAGCUCCUCAAGCUGGGUACCUGCCUCCUGGAAAGUGGGCACCAUUACCUUGCCGCCAGCCGUGCCUUCAUAGUUGGCAUUUGUGACCUGGCUCAGCUGGGUCCACCAGAGCCCAUGAUGGCGGAGUGUCUCGAAAAAUUUACCGUGAGCCUAAACCACAAGCUGGACAUGCAUGCUGAGCUUCUUGAUGCUACUCAACACACACUGCAGCAGCAAAUUCAGACUCUGGUCAAGGAAGGUCUCCGGGGUUUCAGAGAGGCUCGCAGGGAUUUCUGGAGAGGGGCUGAGAGUCUGGAGGCUGCUCUUACCCACAAUGCAGAGGUCCCCAGGCGCCGUGUCCAAGAAGCAGAGGAGGCUGGGACUGCUUUGAGGACCGCCCGAGCUGGGUACCGAUGUCGGGCAUUGGAUUAUGCCCUGCAGGUCAAUGUGAUCGAGGAUAAGAGGAAAUUUGACAUCAUGGAGUUCGUGCUGCGUCUGGUAGAGGCCCAGGCUACCUACUUCCAGCAGGGCCAUGAAGAGCUAAACCAGCUGGCUCAGUAUCGGAAGGAGUUGGGUGCCCAGUUGCAUGACCUGGUCUUGAACUCGGCAAGAGAGAAGAGAGACAUGGAACAGAGGCACGUGUUACUGAAGCAGAAGGAGCUGGGUGGUGAGGAGCCAGAGCCAAGCCUAAAGGAGGGGUCCACUGGCUUGGUAAUGGAAGGACAUCUUUUCAAACGGGCCAGCAAUGCAUUUAAGACCUGGAGCAGACGCUGGUUCACCAUUCAGAACAACCAGCUGGUCUACCAGAAGAAAUAUAAGGACCCUGUGACUGUGGUAGUGGACGACCUUCGUCUCUGUACGGUGAAGCUCUGCCCAGACUCAGAGAGGCGUUUCUGUUUCGAAGUGGUGUCCACCAGCAAGUCCUGCUUCCUCCAGGCUGACUCUGAGCGCCUCCUGCAGCUGUGGGUCAAUGCUGUUCAGAGCAGCAUUGCCUCAGCCUUCAGUCAGGCUCAUCUUGAUAACAGCCCUCGAGGGCCCGGCCAGGUCUCCGGAUACCUUGCCCUGAGCUCUGCUGCUACUCUGGGCUCUGGCAGGGCAGCCAGAGGAAGGGAACCUGGGGGAGUCGGGCAGGUGGCAGCCCAGGUGCAAAGUGUAGAAGGAAAUGCCCAGUGCUGCGACUGCAGGGAGCCGGCCCCAGAGUGGGCCAGUAUCAACCUUGGUGUCACUCUCUGCAUUCAGUGUUCCGGCAUCCACAGGAGCCUUGGUGUUCAUUUCUCCAAAGUCCGGUCUCUAACACUUGACUCCUGGGAGCCAGAACUAGUGAAGCUUAUGUGCGAGCUGGGGAAUGUCGUCAUCAACCAGAUCUAUGAAGCCCGGGUGGAGGCCAUGGCAGUGAAGAAGCCAGGGCCCAGCGGCUCCAGGCAGGAAAAAGAAGCCUGGAUUCACGCCAAGUAUGUAGAGAAAAAGUUCCUGACUAAGCUUCCUGAAAUUCGGGGACGAAGAGGUGGCAGGGGACCCCCAAGAGGACAUCCUCCUGUGCCCCCAAAGCCUUCUAUCAGGCCGCAGCUGGCGGCUGUCAGAUCCAAGUCAGAGUCCCCUUCUGAUGACCUGGGAAGCCUGCACCCUGGGGCCCUGCUGUUUCAAGCUGCUGGACAUCCUCCAUCUCUACCUACCAUGGCUGAUGCCCUGGCCCAUGGAGCUGAUGUCAACUGGGUCAAUGGGGGUCAGGAGAAUGCCACACCUCUGAUCCGGGCCACAGCUGCUAAUUCUCUUCUGGCCUGUGAGUUUCUCCUCCAGAACGGGGCAAAUGUGAACCAAGCAGACAGUGCUGGCCGGGGCCCUCUCCACCAUGCGACCAUUCUUGGCCACACAGGCUGUCCUCUUCAGGCUUGCUUGCCUGUUCCUGAAACGGGGUGCAGAUCUGAGUGCUCGAGACACAGAAGGCAGGGACCCUCUGACCAUUGCAAUGGAAACUGCCAACGCUGACAUCGUAACCCUGCUGAGAUUGGCAAAGAUGAGGGAGGCUGAAGUGGCCCAGGGCCAGGCAGGGGAUGAGACAUAUCUUGACAUCUUCCGAGACUUCUCUCUCAUGGCAUCGGACGACCCGGAGAAAUUGAGGCGUCGCAGUCAUGACCUCCAUACUCUUUGAUUCCAGGCCCCUCCCCACUUGGUCGUGGCCUGUUCUCCAUUAAAGUCUUUCUGCUUUGC